CAGCCGUAAACGAUGUGCGUUAGGUGUAUCGACGACCACGAGUUGUCGAGGUGCCGAAGGGAAACCGUGAAACGUACCGCCUGGGAAGUACGGUCGCAAGGCUGAAACUUAAAGGAAUUGGCGGGGGAGCACCACAACAGGUGGAGCCUGCGGUUUAAUUGGACUCAACGCCGGACAUCUCACCGGAUAAGACAGCUGAAUGAUUGUCAAUCUGAAGGUUUUACAUGACUAGCUGAGAGGUGGUGCAUGGCGUCAGUGACU
rnacentral:rRNA from 1 species